GAUGAACGCUGGCGGCGUGCCUAAUACAUGCAAGUCGAGCGAACAGACGAGGAGCUUGCUCCUCUGACGUUAGCGGCGGACGGGUGAGUAACACGUGGAUAACCUACCUAUAAGACUGGGAUAACUUCGGGAAACCGGAGCUAAUACCGGAUAAUAUAUUGAACCGCAUGGUUCAAUAGUGAAAGACGGUUUUGCUGUCACUUAUAGAUGGAUCCGCGCCGCAUUAGCUAGUUGGUAAGGUAACGGCUUACCAAGGCGACGAUGCGUAGCCGACCUGAGAGGGUGAUCGGCCACACUGGAACUGAGACACGGUCCAGACUCCUACGGGAGGCAGCAGUAGGGAAUCUUCCGCAAAGGGCGAAAGCCUGACGGAGCAACGCCGCGUGAGUGAUGAAGGUCUUCGGAUCGUAAAACUCUGUUAUUAGGGAAGAACAAAUGUGUAAGUAACUAUGCACGUCUUGACGGUACCUAAUCAGAAAGCCACGGCUAACUACGUG
rnacentral:rRNA from 1 species